CUUGUCUUCUUUUUCCUUCUUGAGGAUCCCUCUUCCCUUUCUGCCGUCAUUCAUAAUUAACUCUUAGUGGGUUAGAUGAGAAUUUUCUAGGGCAGGAACUGUGGGUUGCUCAUGUCUGUCUCCCAGUGUCUGGCAUGGUACCUGUCAUAGCAGAUAACCGGAGAACAGCUGACUAGAAUUGUGAAAUUGAGCUCAAGAAACAUGUCUUGAGCCCCUAACGUGUACAAAGCAUGUGCUAAGUAUCUUAGGUUCCAGAAAGAUAAUAAAACCAAGGUUAGGGUAUCUAACCUUCAGGAAACUGGGCAAGGCCAAGGCAAUAAUAGUUCCCAAUUAAUUGCAAAAAUGUGCCACAUGGGUUGAAGUUGCCUUUUAGAUAAGGAUUAUCAACUGGUGAGAUAGAGAUGGUAGUCUCAGAAGGACGUGGGACUCCUUCAUGGUUAUUAGGACAUGAACAGAAUUCUCCAUGAGCACUUAGUUGCCCUUUUGGGGACACACAAACCCUUUGCUUCUCUCCUGGUGAAGUUCAAGGUCUUCAAUACUGUGACUGGCAGGUCAUGGUUAGGGAAAGGCCAAGAGCCACGCACCUUGGAGGACCCCAGCCCCCACUGGCCCCAGCUUUUCCUCUUCCUUCAGGUAAAGAGUGAGGAGUCUGAUGGGAGGAGACAGCCUGCCAGUGGCCGCCUGAGUGGCAGCAGGCAGUCUUGUCAGCCAUUACCCUGCUGGAGUAAUCCUCGAACCCGCGCGCCUCUUCAUUUGAUCUGCCCGAGUCUGCAGGAGACCGUCAAAUGCUUUUGGCUAAUAUCAUAUGCAUGCAUAAUUAGAUGGCAGCAGUUACCAUCUGGGUUCCUAGCUCUUGUUCCAACAUCCAGGCCCUGGGCAAGGAGCUGGUGGGAGUGAGGAAGGGAGGUCUCCCCGAGCCCUGCUCAUCCUCUGUCAGCCUCCCAGAGAGCAGAUUGGAAGCCUGGAGCCUGGGACUGCAGCCCCGUGCAAGGACAGCGAUGAUCAAUGAAGAGUGACAACGGGCAGGUGGCAGAGGGGAUCUCGCCACGACUCAAGCUGGGCUGUCAGGAGCAGACUGAAGGAAAAUGGGAAGAAACCAAGCUGAAGAUGGAAGGGAACCAGGAGACUUCUGAAGUCCAACACAUCAUAGUGGGAAGAGCAUGGAUUUUAGACUCAGCUGCCCAAAAGAUACAGAAACUCUAGUGAAAUGAUUUGCCCAUGGUCAUUGUCAAAUGAAAACAAAUCCGGACUUGGAGGUGUUGGGGAUCAAGGGACGUAUCUGAAAUGUGCCUGCACCUACAUUCCUGAUCAAAAAUUACCUGGUGGGAACAUGUUCCCAGGCAGCUGGAAUUGGGACUCACAGGUGAAAAGACUAUUAUCACAUCUUAAGCUAAGAGGAUGCCGUUGUCGCUCAUCUAUGGGUUCCCCCCACCCCAAUCCCACUGUGGGUGUGCUUGCAGACCUAAGCGGGGAGACAGACUUCAAUGGCUGGAUGGAGUAUCAGCCAUAACCUCAAAGCCAGGAAGAACCAAAGCAGGGAUCCGGAGCAUGAAGAGAGAUGGAAACAGUUGGCACAGAGCAGGCUAUGGGUUGAACACCCCUGUGAGUGAUUUGAGACCACAGGAAAGCCACUGUCAUACUGCUAUUUUCAACACGGUCACCUGAGUCUGGUCCUCUUGGUGUGGGCUCUCAGCCUCGCAGGGGGACUCCUGGGCAGAUGUGCCUGCCCCCACGGUCCUGACACCUGGGAGAUACCAAAAUGAGGUUCCUUGUGAUCACCCGGAGCAGCCCAGCCCCAGAGAGAAGGCCCCAGUCUCCAUGGCGACUCUUCCUGUGGUGUAUAAUAAAAUUA